ensembl:snRNA U6 U6 spliceosomal RNA
UAUCUGUGAUGCUCGACUCGACAGUACAUAACACUAAAAAAAUUGAACCAUACAGAAAAGACUACCAUGGCCCCUAUGCAAAGAUAAUAUGCAAAUUUGUGAAACACUCCCUAUUUUU